GACGAACGCUGGCGGCGUGCCUAACACAUGCAAGUCUACGAGAAAGGGGUAGCAAUAUCCUUAGUAAAGUGGCGCAAGGGUGAGUAAUAUGUAAGUAAUCUACCCAUGGGUUCGGAAUAACUCGUCGAAAGACGGGAUAAUACCGUAUAAUGCAGCGGCAUCACAUGAUGAUGUUGUUAAAGUUCUUGAAACGCCUAUGGAUGAGCUUGCAUCCGAUUAGCUAGUUGGCAGGGUAAUUGCCUACCAAGGCUACAAUCGGUAGCUGGUCUGAGAGGAUGAUCAGCCACACUGGAACUGAGACACGGUCCAGACUCCUACGGGAGGCAGCAGUGAGGAAUAUUGGGCAAUGGACGAAAGUCUGACCCAGCAACGCCGCGUGGAGGAUGAAUGCCGUAAGGUUGUAAACUCCUUUUGAAGGGGACGAAAAAUUUCGAUAACAUCGGAACUUGACUGUACCCUUAGAAGAAGCCCCGGCUAACUACGUG
rnacentral:rRNA from 1 species